AUGAAUUUCAAAGAAGGACCUGCCUGGGACGGGAUGAAUCUCCUAACUUCCCAGAAGUCUGUUGACAGAGGUUGGAUGAGACCCUCACUGGUACCUGCCAGCAGCUACUUUCACUGGUUUGUUCCUGACAUCUUGUCUGCUGCUGCUGUAGAAUCAGAGCAGCAACAGAGGAGAGACAAUGUGUGUGUGAAUGGAUAAACUGGCAGACAGUGUUGGGAAGAUUACUUUGGAAAUGUAAUUGGUUACAAUUACAAGUUACCCUGUUGAAAAUUUAAUAGUAGUGUAACUAUUUCAAUUACUUUCUCAAAGUAAUGUAACUAAUUACAUUUGAUUACAUUUUGAUUACUUUUCUAUACUUUUCUAUAUUUUGAAUUUUCACAUUUUAAGACCUACAGUGUGAUAAACCUUUCAGUUCAAAGGUUUAACCAUAUAUGGGUCUGACCUUCGGCCUGUACUGCGAAGGAGGCUCACUUCCUCACUAAAUGGAGCGACAACGGGCUGAUUUCAGCCAAGAGGAACAGGUUGUUUUAAUGGAGAGAGUAUGAGCGAUACAAAAAAGCCUGAUCACAGCCUGAAGCAACAGUGUUGCUGCAAAUAUGACAAGAGGAGGCUGAUUUUAAUUUCUGACAGCUCUACAUUGAGCUGCUUUUAAAUAUGAAGCUUUAGAGCAACAACAACUGUUGUUUUAAAAAGUUUUAUAUUAUUUUCAUAUAUUUCACUGAUCGCAAUUAUAAAAUGCCAGUGUGUGUUUUAUUGAAAGCGAGGCUGGUGUGCGUAUGAAAAUAGGUUACAGUGGGUUUUUUAGGUGCUGUAGCUACAAGCAAAUCUCAUGUUGUCUCUGUACAAAGACCUUUUUAAAUGUGAGAAAACAGAGUAGACCUACUCAAGAUUUGCGUUUGGGCAACACAUAACAGGCGAAACAAUUAAUUUAUUCAUGGUCACAUUAAGUUAAAUGAUCUGUCCUGCUGCGAGCGCACAACUUCUUCCAGUGGUGACUGACUGUAUAUAAAAGUAAAUAGGCUAUAGCCUAAUAAAUGACCUCCUGACGCGAGUCGGAUCAACAGCUGAGCAGCGUAUCCCCUCAGCUGAACAUCUGUAGGCGGAGACGCUCAGAGACAAAGUAAACAGCAGCGGAUCAGCGCGAUCUCUCCCUCCGUACAGAUGCUCUGAUCCAGCUCCACUGGGCUUUCAAAGUAAAGGUGACGCCAGCUGUAAAUGAGUUUAACGGUGAAACAGCGGCGCUUUUAUAGCCGAUUUUAUGAUUAAACUCUGAACAGAACCUGGUCGGGACCAGGUUAUUAGCUAAGCAUAAGUUACCAUGGUGAUCUAGCCGGUUAACAGAGAGCCACCUUUGUAAUACAGGGAAGCCUGGCUUCUGUCUGUAUGAAGUGUUUUCUGUAUUUCCAGCCCAGGAACAUCUUGUGCGCCGCCGACACUGUUGCUGCUGAGUCUGACUGCCGCCGUACGGUUUGUCGGUUGAGUCGAAUGGCACAUGACCAGACAGAGCCAAUCACAAGCGUCAGUUUUGGAAGGAGGAUAUUGAUAUGAAAAAAACUAAAAACAAACAUGAAUCCAGAAGGGACGAAAAAGUAUUUCAUAAAUCUGAGCUUUUGUGGCGAUUUUUCAAAUGUAACUUAAGUUGUAAUCACUGCAAUUUCCAAAAGCAACUGUAAUUUAAUUACAUAUUUUCUCCCAGUAAUGUAACGGAUUACAAUUACGUACAUUUUGUAAUUAAAUUACGUAACGUCGUUACAUGUAAUUCGUUACUCCCCAACACUGCUGGCAGCAGUGCAGGUCAGGAGUGUGUCGGUCUGAUGGCGUUCAGUCUGACAGCUCAACAGAUCCUUCACUCAUCAAAUAAAAGAGAAAUGUUCCACACUUCAACCCACAAAGACACGUGACAGGACCAAACAACAGUAAUGUGGUAGCAGCUCGUGUCUUCAGCAUCUUAUAUGAGGACAAAAAUACAGAAUUAACUAAACACAAAAUGUGUCUGAGCGACUCUUCAUCACAUUUCUUCUAAAAACAGCGUCUGUCUCCAGCAGUGAGAGCCGGGCAGCUCCUGUAGUUUACUGCUGAUGAUUAUGUGACCAGAUUUAGAGCAAAACACUUGAACUCACAUGUGUUUGUCGUCUUUCACUGUUGUGUUGUUGUAGUUACUGUCUCUGACACAGUGUUGUGGAAUCUCUGUCUGAAAAGAGCUCAUGUGUGUUAUGUUCUGACAGGUCAAUGGAGGAUGGACUUAAUUUCCAAGAAGAACCACCUCCUCCCUGGUGAGCUUUUAUCAACAUACAUUCAUCAACAUUGGACACACACACAGCUUAUGAUAUUAGAAUAUAGUUUAUCAUAUUUCUGACUAUUUUGUC
ensembl:lncRNA